AAAAGGGGUUUGAAUUAAAUUUUUGUUAUACAUACAUGGCAAAUUAUCAAUAACAUUGGUCAUUAAUGGAUUUAACCAUGUAUCUUUGGGCUGCUUUCAUUUGGGUCAUUACAUAUUUCGAACAUUUGCUUAAUAAGUUUGCCAAAGUACAUUACAAAAACAAUAAGCGGCGACAACCUCAGUAACCCGAUUGCACUGUUAAUCGUGACUUAAAGAAAAUAGUUACUUAAAAAGGACAAUGAAUUUAUACAUAACGGGGUAUAGAAAAGUGCUAUUAUGGUACGAAAGUGUUGUUUCUUAUGCCUUUUGUCGGCACAAACUAGUGUAGCAUUGUUCGAAUUAUUGCCUAUUAUACUGCCAUUCAUUAGUUAUAAGUUUUAUACAUUAAACGAAUGUUACUAA